rnacentral:tRNA from 2 species
AUUUAUAUAGUUUAAAAAAAAACAUUACACUUUCAUCGUAAAAUUAGAUCCUAUCUUAUAAAUA